rnacentral:lncRNA from 1 species
UUUGUAGGUUCUGGAAAUAUCCCCAGCUGUGGAGAAGAGGGAAGGACUGCUGCAAUAAAAGAGAAUGUUGAAGAUGGAGUGACUCCAGACUCAGAUGUCUCCAUGUCAGAGAGCAGAGCUGAGACACCAGGAGUUGCCAUGUCGGUGGAGAGAUGCAGAGCUGAGACACCANGGUGGAGAGAUGCAGAGCUGAGAUACCAGGACAUUCUGCCUCAGUGGAAAGGAACAGAAAUGAGGCUCCAGAGACGUCUCCCAACAAAGUUCAUGGAGGGAGAAGAGGAGCCCUAAAAACUGUCUUGUCGAAGCUGAGGCUCAGGAAGUUCAGAAUUGGGAAACUGAGGCUAAGGGAUCUCCUGGAAAUCAGCCCGGAGAGCCUGAAGGACUGGACUCCUUAUGUCUUGGGAGAUUUGCCUU